rnacentral:rRNA from 1 species
UGAGGUGGGAUCCCGGCCCCUCGGGGUCGGGCGCACCACCGGCCCGUCUCGCCCGCACCGUCGGGGAGGUGGAGCGUGANCNCGUGCGAUAGGACCCGAAAGAUGGUGAACUAUGCCUGGGCAGGGC